rnacentral:lncRNA from 1 species
AGAAGUCUGAUUCCUCCUCCAAGGGCUCGUCCGCAACCCAUGAGAAGUCGACCUGCCCGGAAGAGGAGGCGUGUUCGGUACCAUCUCGGACACUCCCAUCCCCGACAGGGAGACGAGCGAUUGUCGCGUCUUCGGUGGAGGACCCAGAAUCUUCCCUCCUCGGUCGUAAGCGCCCGGUAGCACCUGAAACGCAGACAGAAAGAGUGAAUUCGACGUCAUAUCAAAUCCAC